CUCCAGAGAUGAGGGUGGUCGCCAAUCAUGGACUAGUCCCAAAAUGAAAGACCCCCAGAGCAGGGAGACCCUCACUAAAGUCUCAGGAUGACGUGACCCCCUAAGAACUGAAGAGAGA
rnacentral:pre_miRNA from 14 species